rnacentral:tRNA from 1 species
GUUUUUAUAGUUUAUAUAAAACAUUGGUCUUGUAAAUCAAAAAUAAAUUAUUAUUUUAAAAACU